GACGAACGCUGGCGGCGUGCUUAACACAUGCAAGUCGAACGGUAAGGCCCUUCGGGGUACACGAGUGGCGAACGGGUGAGUAACAGGUGGGUGGUCUGCCCUGCACUUCGGGAUAAGCCUGGGAAACUGGGUCUAAUACCGGAUAGGACCACUGCCUGCAUGGGUGGUGGUGGAAAGCUUUUGCGGUGUGGGAUGGGCCCGCGGCCUAUCAGCUUGUUGGUGGGGUGAUGGCCUACCAAGGCGACGACGGGUAGCCGGCCUGAGAGGGUGACCGGCCACACUGGGACUGAGAUACGGCCCAGACUCCUACGGGAGGCAGCAGUGGGGAAUAUUGCACAAUGGGCGCAAGCCUGAUGCAGCGACGCCGCGUGAGGGAUGACGGCCUUCGGGUUGUAAACCUCUUUCAGCACCGACGAAGCGCAAGUGACGGUAGGUGCAGAAGAAGGACCGGCCAACUACGUGCCAGCCGCCGCGGUAA
rnacentral:rRNA from 1 species